UACAUAUUACCCUCCCCAGACCCCACCUGGUGGGAGUAUACUGGGUAGUUGUUGUUGUUGUUGUUGAAAAAGCCAGUUGGAUGUAUAUAAACAAGCAAGGAUUACUAUCAGACUCUUACCAAUUUCAGCAAAAUAAUAGUAACAUGAUUUACUACCAUAUUCUUCCAUUUCGGCUAAAUAAUGACAUCCAUGUGAAAAUGAGGCACAAAGAUACACAUGCAUUUAUACUGCUUAGACAGAAUUAAGCGACAAAUUACACCAUUUGAGAUGCUUAUUCAGCACCACAUAAUAUUGUAGUUUUGCAUCUCUGGGAACUAUACUGUUUUUAUGUUAAUUUCACUAACACAAAUCCAUGUCAACCCAAGCUCAUUAUUAGAAAAGAAGUAAUACAAUAAAGUAAAAUCAUAAGUGUGCAAAUCUAAAGUCCAAAAUUUAGAUAUAUGUUUUCUCUUUGAAAGUUAUUUGUCAUGUUUAAUUACAAAACCAAAAUAGCAACUUCUAUAUAAAGGCAUGGCUCAUUAAUUUGUAAAAGCUCUUUAGCAUCAAGGAACUUACCACCAGACAGGUUUGCACCCCUCUUCUGCAACAAACUGAGUUCAUGGAAGACAGAUAUGCUCAUACUGGUUAUUAAUCUGGAGAAGGAAUAGACAAGAACUGCCCCUAGGUUAAAAAACAUUUAACUUUUAGCAGGUGAAAGAAGCAAAAAUAUAACGGUUAAAUAACAUUUUUAGUGUCUCGCUAGGAGAUAAUACCUUUGGCCACAGAAUAUCCAAACUGGAUUUUGGCAUGUCUUCAUGAUAUGCUUCCUUUUACUGAGGCAUAUGUCGAACGUGACUAACAAACUGGAAGGAUGCACAAAUUCAGACCACAAAAUAUUUGUAAUCAUUUCUCAGUAAUCUCAAGACCAACUUAAAAGGUCGUAAAUCAUAAUAUGCAUGUACAAAAUUGGUAACCAAAAGGAGAAAAAUAUGAAGAAGAAAAAAGCAGUAAGAAAGAAAAUACAUGAAAAAUUAACUAACAUUUAUAUAUUGCAUCGAAACAGAGAAAAUAUUGAAUUGAGAAGGGGGAAAAGAGUUGAGUCUUACAUGCAAUAAAUACGUACAAAGUUGAGUCACUUUUAACAUCAUGUCUAUGGCGGAUGGCAAAGAGUGUUUGAAGACUCUUCUGAAAUUGUCUUUGAUUAUGCUUAUCAUAAACGGUUGAAGAAGAAAUUAAAAGCACGAAAAGCAACCCAGAGAAAAAGGACAAAGAUAAGGAAAAAUAGAUAGAAAGAGCUAAACAACAGUUUAAUAGAAGAUCGGCGGCAUUACCUAGGGGCAAGGCGAUGGUGUUUCUCUGAAAGAGGGAGAAGAGAACGAUGGAGGAGCAGUAAGACGCCAAAAUAUGUGUCCUAA
rnacentral:lncRNA from 1 species